GGUCGCUUAGCUCAGUUGGUUAGAGCGUGGUGCUAAUAUCUCCCCUUCUAUUCAUUCGAAUAUAAGAUGAUUAACAACGCCAAGGUCGGCGGUUCGACCCCGCCAGUGAUCA